rnacentral:lncRNA from 1 species
UUAAAGCCAAUAUUCUUCAAUUUUAACUCUUCUAAUUCAACUUUCGAGUAUGAUUGUAAAUUUUGUAUUUUGCAUUUCAUACAUUGGUUUUACAAAUGUGUUUUUCUACUCCCCCUUUUUGUCAUCAACAAUGAAGGGGACAAAUUAUCCUUAGGUGCUUAAAGCAUACUUUCUAGUAAAAUUCAGCAUAGUACCAUGAACCACUCAA